rnacentral:rRNA from 1 species
AAUGAACGCUGGCGGCGUGCCUAACACAUGCAAGUCGUACGAGAAAGGGGCUUCGGCCCUGAGUAGAGUGGCGCACGGGUGAGUAACGCGUGGGUAAUCUGCCCUUGGAUUUGGAAUAACUCCGCGAAAGUGGAGCUAAUACCGGAUAGUCUGGCUUUUUAACGAAGUCGGUAAAGGAUGCCUCUGCAUAUGCAUUCGUCCGAGGAUGAGCCCGCGUCUCAUUAGCUAGUUGGUAGGGUAAUGGCCUACCAAGGCAACGAUGAGUAGCUGGUCUGAGAGGAUGAUCAGCCACACUGGAACUGAAACACGGUCCAGACUCCUACGGGAGGCAGCAGUGGGGAAUAUUGCGCAAUGGGCGAAAGCCUGACGCAGCAACGCCGUGUGAGGGAUGAAGGCUUUCGGGUCGUAAACCUCUGUCAGAAGGGAAGAACGGGCAUUGGUCUAAUAGGCCUUUGUUUUGACGGUAUCUUCAGAGGAAGCACCGGCUAACUCCGUGCCAGCAGCCGCGGUAAUACGGAGGGUGCAAGCGUUAUUCGGAAUUACUGGGCGUAAAGCGCACGUAGGCCGCUUUGUAAGUCAGGGGUGAAAUCCCACGGCUCAACCGUGGAACUGCCCUUGAAACUGCGAAGCUUGAAUCCUGGAGAGGGUGGCGGAAUUCCUGGUGUAGGAGUGAAAUCCGUAGAUAUCAGGAGGAACACCGGUGACGAAGGCGGCCACCUGGACAGGUAUUGACGCUGAGGUGCGAAAGUGUGGGGAGCAAACAGGAUUAGAUACCCUGAUAGUCCACACCGUAAACGAUGGAUACUAGUGUCGGGGACUUGAUCUUCGGUGCCGUAGCUAACGCGUUAAGUAUCCCGCCUGGGGGGUACGGUCGCAAGGCUGAAACUCAA